UGAAAAGAUUUCUGCUUUAUGUGUACAUUUGUUGCUCUGGAAAUCCAUAAAGAUCAAACAAAGGCAAUCAUGGGACCCAGACAUUUGUUAGCUCUGUUGAUUGCAUCACCAUCCAGAAUCUAUAUUUAAGUUGCAGACUUCAGUCACAAAUGUAGACGCUGCACUUAGCAGGGCUUGCCAGAGGCUUCUUACUCUCACCUGGAACUGAAAUAAACUAAUAAGACCGAAGAUGCUGCUGAAGCUGGGCUGUGUCGUCCUGGUUCUUGUGUUCUUAAAUGAAGUGCAUUUAGUCACUCCAGAAGGUAACAUCACAAUAACUACUAUCACCACCAAGGCUGGAUCUGAUAUCACAACAGCUACAGGCACGAAACCUGCUGGAGGAGCUGAACAAAGCACCAGCGCUGGAUCCAAUACCACAGAAACGACCAAUACAGGCACAGUGCAGCAAGGAAGCUCAAUGGCUAUCGUCUUACCUUUGCUUACUGUCACAUCUUUGACCAUGUUCAUCCCUUGGUUGUGAAUACUCCUAUUUUAUAAGCUUUUUUCUGCUUGUAUAUUUAUGCACCACUUGUAGUAUAUUUAUACCAAUUCAAAUUUGAACAAACUAAGAACAUGCUCUUAUGGUCAUGUGAGUUUGACAGCAUAAUAGUGGCACUAUAAGUUAAGGUUGCUUAAUUAAUAACUAGGUUUGAAUAACUAGCUCCAGUUUGGAAGGUUGGCACUUUUCCAAAAGGCAAUCAAUCUGUCUUAAGUAUUUUAUUUUAAAAGUGAAGGAAAAAAAAAAUAUUUUUCUACUUAAAAUGAGAAAUGUGAAAACAUUUAAUACUAUUACUCCAAAUAUAUUAUAAAUAUAUGUAACUAUACAUAUACUCCAAAAUGUAUUAUAAAUAUAUGUAACUAUGCAAAUUAAUCCCAUUAUACUUGUUUCCACCAAACUACAUUUCCUGUAGGAAGAAAACAGUGGUAUCCUCCUACAGAAGCCAAAUAGUAACAAAUGUGACUCGUUUCCCUCAUACCUUUUCUAAUGUAAUGUGAUCAAUGUGCACAAGGCUAACAGUGGUCAACAGUAUCAAUCCUGAUAACCACGGAAAGGAGCUAUGUUCCCUUUCCUGAGAUUUCUCACCAUCCUUUCCACAGAUACUGAUGUCUCAAUAUCUGUUCUGUGUUUAUUGUAAUUUCACCCCGUGAUUUUUGGGGGCCUGCUGUUUUGUUCUAUUUGAAUUUUAUACAAGGUUUGGUUUAAACUGUAAGGUUUGUCAAUAAAACUGCUCAAUUCUUAUAUAUGUUAAACUAGAACCAUUUUAAUAAAAAUAAAUUCAUGCAGAAUGUA